rnacentral:misc_RNA from 1 species
UUUCCGUAGGUGAACCUGCGGAAGGAUCAUUAACACGAUUCCAAAUCGUAUAAACCAUUCGCGCACUCGUUUCUGUAACUAUACGUGUAUGGCGAGCUGCAGACCAAAGGAGUUGAGGUAGUGUGGGCCGUUCCUCGCAUGCCUUCCGGUAGGCGAGUAACAGCCUUGCUCCUUUGUCCGCCUAGACUUCCUUCCGAGGAGCGUCCGGGGAGCUCUUAUACAUGACGCUACUGCGUUUCCGCUUCUAGCGGAGGCGCUUGUUUAACUUUUUUAACCCUUCGUAUCCAUUUGUACUAAUCGUUAAAGUUUUCUUGAAAAAUAAGAAACAAAGAACAACUCUUAGCAACGGAUAUCUAGGCUCUC